CGGCCUUUUAGAUUACUCAUUCACCAGACUGUGAGUUCCUGUUUGUCUGUGACCGCCAAAUGCCACAGUGAAGGGCAAGGAGAUACAAAAGGAAGGGCCCAUUUCAUCUAGGGGGAACUAGAUCCGUGAAUGCCAUCUUGGAAGUCCCCUAUCACCAUCCCCAUUCUCAUCUCUAUCAUGGCUGCCGGGAGGACUCAAAAUAGCUCCAGACUUACCAGGUGAGGUAACUGAGGUCCAGAGAAGUGAAGCGACUUAUCC